rnacentral:rRNA from 1 species
CCUACGGGUGGCAGCAGUGGGGGAUAUUGCACAAUGGGGGGAACCCUGAUGCAGCGACGCCGCGUGGGUGAAGGAGUGCUUCGGCAUGUAAAGCCCUAUCGGCAGGGAAGAAGCAAGACGGUACCUGACUAAGAAGCCCCGGCUAACUCCGUGCCAGCAGCCGCGGUAAUACGGGGGAUGCAAGCGUUAUCCGGAUUUAUUGGGUUUAAAGGGUGCGUAGGCUGUGAGGUAAGUCAGCGGUGAAAUGCCCCCGCUCAACGGGGUGAAGUGCCAUUGAUACUGCCUUGCUGGAAUGCGGAUGCCGUGGGAGGAAUGUGUGGUGUAGCGGUGAAAUGCAUAGAUAUCACACAGAACACCGAUUGCGAAGGCAUCUCACGAAUCCGCGAUUGACGCUGAUGCACGAAAGCGUGGGUAUCAAACAGGAUUAGAUACCCCUGUAGUC